rnacentral:rRNA from 1 species
ACGUUAGCGGCGGACGGGUGAGUAACACGUGGGUAACCUACCUAUAAGACUGGGAUAACUCCGGGAAACCGGGGCUAAUACCGGAUAACACAUGAAACCGCAUGGUUUCAUUAUGAAAGACGGUUUUGCUGUCACUUAUAGAUGGACCCGCGGCGUAUUAGCUAGUUGGUAAGGUAACGGCUUACCAAGGCAACGAUACGUAGCCGACCUGAGAGGGUGAUCGGCCACACUGGAACUGAGACACGGUCCAGACUCCUACGGGAGGCAGCAGCA